AGCUUCGCCCGCGUAGUCUAGGAAAAGUACCAGUGCAGUUUCCGUGGGAAUGAGAUAUUUUUUCGAGAUGACAAAAGAAUAAGUACGCAUUCAAUAAUUGAAGACUUUUACAAACUCGACACUGGUAGCAGUGGCAUCGUAAUAAAGUAAUUGCCGUCCUAAUAAAAGAAGAAAAAAUCCUAAAACCAGGCUACAAUAAAUAAUGUUAAUAAACCUUUUUGACCAUAACUGGACAGAUAAACUUACUGAGGGUUUCUACACAGCGGCAUGAAACAGAUGCGUCUUCAGGAUUCAACUUAAUUAGAAGCUUCGCAGAAUCUACCACCGGAUCGGAAACGCGACCCACUGAGAAGAACCAGCGAGAAACUCAUUGAAAAAAUCGCCCGAUCCCCACCCGCGCGGCAGAUGGGGUAUGUGGGGGUGUUGAACCUCACUAAAAACUCCUGCCGCUCACAACGGGCGCCCCACCCCAGUCGGAACUAUUGAGACGGUGGGACAGGGUUUACGCAGAGCAUAUUACAUCCAUCAAAUUUUUUUUCUUCUUCUACCUAAGCUGAUAUCCUUGAGAGGCUUGAUUUCAGCGUAACCUUAACUAGUAGGUGAGCUCACGGGGCUCAAACCGAUGUGAUGCUAACACUGACCCUAGCAAGAGCAGUGCACUGAGAAGAUCCGGCGAGUGUCUCCAUCCCGCAAUAACUCCCUCUAAGAUGGUUUUCAUCAAGCUGGAUUGUAGCAUAUCAUUUUAACACAAUUGUUUAAUUUUAUUAAAACUGGAAUACAAAAAUAAAGUUAGAUCCCGAUAAACAAUAUAUUUAGGUAAUUAAUUCAAGCGUAAUCUAAAGUUUUAAUUGUAAAAAAUAUUAAAAGUCGAUUUGCUUUUAAACUACUCUUUAAUUGAUUUUAAAUAACUUUUUAAUACUAGUCGUUGGGUGGGUGGGUGCAUUGUUUUCGUACGCACUUGUAGGUACCAUAGACUCAUAGACCUGUCUAUUUCUGCUGAGAAAACGUUCUUAUUUGAAAGGUGCUAUACAUCACAAAUGGUAAUAACGCCAUCUCCGAUUUUUAAAUGACUUCUCCGAUGGUUAGAUGGCGUAAAGCACGACCUUGAAGCUAUCGGUGUCAAGAACUGGAAGGAGAAAGCCCUGAACAGAGCAGUCUGGAGGGACAUACUGGAUCAGGCUAAGGCCCACCCUGAGCUGUAAGGCCUAUGAUAAUGAUGAUGAUACAGCCAAAUGAUGUUUGAUCCCCGGAUAAUUAAAGAGGGAUGGUAUUGUCGCUAUGAAAUUUAUAGGUUCCCAGCGAUCAGUUAAUACCAAGUGGGCCGUCACCCCGUUUGCCUAUAUAUGCAAAAAUAACUCAAAUUACAUUACAUUACACGUCAGCAAGAAAAUUCCAUUUAAGUUUUAAGUAAAUAUUAUAAUGACAUUCUCUCAUUUAUUCUCAUUUUUACGGCAGGCAGUAUCUUGGCUCUGUCCCUGGCAUCGCUGAUGUCCAAGGGUGACUGGAACCACUAACUACCAGGUGGGCCGUACGCUGGUCUGCCUAGAGCGAAAUACAUUUUUUUAUAAAAGAAAACUUGAUAUUUCGUGUCUAAGAUCGGAUAUAUUAAUAAUUCUCAUAUUUUAUAUUUUAUUAGUAUAUUAUUAUCGAUAACCCAUAUUUUAAAAUUUUUACUAAGGAAUACUGUAGUCUUUAAUAAAUAAAUAAAAUCAUACGCA